rnacentral:rRNA from 1 species
UACAGAGGGGGCAAGCGUUGUUCGGAAUUACUGGGCGUAAAGGGCGCGUAGGCGGCCUGCUAAGUCGAACGUGAAAUCCCUGGGCUCAACCCAGGAACUGCGUCCGAUACUGGUUGGCUUGAAUCCGGAGAGGGAUGUGGAAUUCCAGGUGUAGCGGUGAAAUGCGUAGAUAUCUGGAGGAACACCGGUGGCGAAGGCGACAUCCUGGACCGGUAUUGACGCUGAGGCGCGAAAGCCAGGG